AUGAACGCUAGCGGCAGGCUUAACACAUGCAAGUCGAGGGGCAGCAUAAUGGAUAGCAAUAUCUAUGGUGGCGACCGGCGCACGGGUGCGUAACGCGUAUGCAACCUACUUUAACAGGGGAUAACACUGAGAAAUUGGUACUAAUACCCCAUAAUAUCAUAGAAGGCAUCUUUUAUGGUUGAAAAUUCCGAUGGUUAGAGAUGGGCAUGCGUUGUAUUAGCUAGUUGGUGGGGUAACGGCUCACCAAGGCGACGAUACAUAGGGGGACUGAGAGGUUAACCCCCCACACUGGUACUGAGACACGGACCAGACUCCUACGGGAGGCAGCAGUGAGGAAUAUUGGUCAAUGGACGCAAGUCUGAACCAGCCAUGCCGCGUGCAGGAUGACGGCUCUAUGAGUUGUAAACUGCUUUUGUACGAGGGUAAACGCAGAUACGUGUAUCUGUCUGAAAGUAUCGUACGAAUAAGGAUCGGCUAACUCCGUG
rnacentral:rRNA from 1 species